GACUACUCAGGACUCUUCAUAUCAAAUUCUGAAAAUGAGGUGCCCUGCUCACCUCCUGGGGCUGCUUGUGUUCUGGAUCCCAGGGAGCAUUGGGGAUAUUGUGAUGACCCAGACUGCACUCUCCAAUCCUGUUCCUCUUGGAGAGUCAGCUUCCAUCUCCUGCAGGUCUAGUAAGAGUCUCCUAUACAAGGAUGGCAAAACAUACUUACAUUGGUUCCUACAGCGACCAGGACAGUCUCCUCAGCUUCUGAUCUACUUGGUGUUUAAUCGUGUCUCAGGAGUCCCAGAUAGGUUCAGUGGUAGUGGAUCAGGAACUAAUUUCACACUGAAAAUCAGUAGAGUGAAUAAUGAGGAUGUGGGUGUUUAUUACUGUUUGCACAAUGUAGAAUAUCCUCCCACAGUGACACAGCCCAAAUCAAAAACCUCUCUGCUUGAAGCUUUAAAGUUGCCUCAAAAGUUCUUUGCUUUGGGUUCAAACAUUCAGUCAGCAUUGCUGAAAAUGCUUUUAGGAGUCAUUUGUUUUUUCUCUCAGCUACUGUGCCAAUUAACCCCCUGGAAUGGGUUCUUCCAUGAGAAUUGA